CGGCGUGCUUAACACAUGCAAGUCGAGUGCGCGUGCCGUANCAAUACGGCAUGGCGCACGGCGCACGGGUGCGUAACACGUGGGUAACCUGCCCUUUGAUGGGGAAUAACCCCGCGAAAGCGGGGCUAAUUCCGCAUAAGAUCCGCAAGGAUGAAAGCCGUAAGGCGUCGAAGGAGGGGCCCGCGCCCGAUUAGCUAGUUGGUAAGGUAACGGCCUACCAAGGCUAUGAUCGGUAGCUGGUCUGAGAGGAUGGCCAGCCACACUGGAACUGAGACACGGUCCAGACUCCUACGGGAGGCAGCAGUGGGGAAUCUUGCGCAAUGGGCGAAAGCCUGACGCANCGACGCCGCGUGGGGGAUGAAGCUUCUCGGAGUGUAAACCCCUUUCGACCCGGACGAAUACCUCGCAAGAGGGGUGACGGUACGGGUAUAAGAAGCCCCGGCUAACUACGUGCCAGCAGCCGCGGUAAGGCGUAGGGGGCCACCGUUGUUCGGAAUUACUGGGUGAUAAGGGUCAGUAGGCGGUGUGGCAAGUCGGGAGUGAAA
rnacentral:rRNA from 1 species